UUCCUUUUAGUCAAGUACCUACAUGCUUUGUUAUAUCUUCAUGCAAAACUUGAGCCUUCUCUUCAAGCUCUACCUGUAAGAAGUUUAAAAGCCAUGUCAUAGACUUUCUUCAUGCAAAGAGAAUAGUGGUUACUAGUAUUGUGACCCGUGCUUCGCCACGGGUCGAAUAAAUUUUUUUGUGGCAAAAAACAAAAA